UACGUAGGGGGCAAGCGUUGUCCGGAUUUAUUGGGCGUAAAGAGCGUGUAGGCGGUCAGGUAGGUCCGUUGUGAAAACUCGAGGCUCAACCCCGAGACGCCGAUGGAAACCAUCUGGACUAGAGUCCGGAAGAGGAGAGUGGAAUUCCGUGGUGUAGCGGUGAAAUGCGCAGAUAUCGGGAAGAACACCCGUGGCGAAGGCGGCUCUCUGGGACGGUACUGACGCUGAGACGCGAAAGCGUGGGGAGCGAACAGG
rnacentral:rRNA from 1 species